rnacentral:lncRNA from 1 species
CUUGGAUCAGCGUUUCAGCUCGUUUUUGGCCGGUUUAGGAUACGGACCUCUUUCCGUCGUUUUAAUUUCAGGCUGGAAUCAAGUGGCGACCAGUAAUUUACACCUGUAAGAUAAAUACAGGUGUAAAAACUUACACCCAUUCCAAGCAGGGCCUUACAUGAAAACAGUUAAAAAUUUACAGAUGGUGUUUCAUGUAACUUUGAUUCAAAGCAUUACACACAGUGGUUCAUGCAGCACAAACUAAAACGCAAAGCAGGUGUUGCCGCACAUCAGCAGCAUUCAGAGUCGCCUCCAUACACAGGCGGAUACCACAGUGACCAUCCACACAUAAUACCACUGUCCACCACAAGCCAAACAAGACACUACAACGAGAUACUAACUCCUAAGGUAACAUAACUUCGGAGACCCCACACCAGGUCAACUACAUAGAAUAUUAGGUUUGUUGGCACCAUAUUUUAAACACAGUUCCUUGCAGUCAUUGUUUCCAUUAUUGAAACCAAGCUGCCAACAUGGCCAGGUUAAAGUCUCUAAGAUUUGGGACACCCAUGCCACCGAAUUCUUUCCUCGUAGAAAUGAGCUCCCAUUUAGCAAGGUGGUACUUAUGUUCACUCCUCAAACUACCACAAAAGAAAUGGGGCAUCUGAUAAGUGAUAGCAUCAAUAGCCCAUUUAGGAAAUUUCAUCAUGGACAUUAAGUACAUAGAAAUGUUAACAAUGCAAGUAGUAAGAAGAAUUAGUUUGCCCCUACAUGACAAAUAUUCCCCAAGCCAAACAGAAAGAUUCUUGAUGAUUCUGUCUAUGAUGGGAUAGACCUCAAAACCAACACUAGGAUGGCCCAUAAUAUUGCCCAAGUGUACGUGUGGCGCAGGGCGGGCUCGUGGCUGGUUUUUCCUUGCCAAUUUCAGCCAGUCUUUUUAUUUAGGCCUAAUUUUGUAUUUGUUUCUUCUUCCCUUUUUGAAGUAAAGAAGUUAACGAACUUAACAAAAAAUCUUCAAGAAUUUUCUAAAAAAUCAUAAUUUUAAUAAUAAUAAUAUUUAUUUAUUUAAAAUAAUUGUAUAUUUGCAAAAAUAUUCACGAAAUUAAUAGAUCAUUCGCCAUUUUAAAGAUGUUUUGAUUUUUUUAAAUGUUCACAAAUUUAUGAGAAGAAAAUGAAAAAAAUAAAAUAAAAAUAAAAAAUAACCGCUGAUAAUUGAGGAACAAACCAAACAAAUAAAAACCAGAAGAAAAUGAAAAAUAACGAGGCGGUGAGGCAGAGAGAACGCGUACGCGUAAAGAAAUAAAGAGAUAAUGGACCCAGCGUCCCAGCCCUUACUGUUCACUGGCUGUGAUUCAUUUCUAGCUAGUCGAUACAUUGGCACGCGGCCCAUAUACACACCUGCGGUGUGCUGGUAGCCCGCAAAGAACAGCUCUGUGCUCAAGGGUUUCGCCGCGAGUGGCGGCGGCCACGAGAGCAGGCGACGAGGAGCGGCGGGGAGGAGGAGGCGGGCACGCGGCGUACGGCGGAGGUUCCGGCGCGGGUCGCGGGAGUUCCAAGGAGCGGCCGGCAGCGCCGCAGCACCGAUCGCCACCACCAGCAGGCCAAUCGCUGCCAUCUCCGACAGCAAGCUAGCCAGUGAGUGUCCUCUUGUGCUCUUCUUCGGUUCAUUCAGCUGAAGGAUUCACUAGCUUGUACAGUACUACUCUGCAUUGUCAAUUUUGUGGUGCUUUCUCUUUGCUUGCUCAAUUUUGUGGAUUCACUAGCUUGUACCUUGCGUUCACUUAAAUUUUGUUCAGUGAACAGACCCGUGGAGAACACCAUUGUGGGCUCUUGUGUCUUCCAAUUCAAAGUCGACUACGAGCUAGUCAAGCACCUUCCCACCGGUAUGGCCUUCUACUCCGAUGCCGUCUCCGCCGGGGGACACCUGUGGGGGAUUAAGUUCUUCCCGAGUGGGGAGUACGAGGCCGACGAGGAGUAUGUUUCUAUCUUCCUGGAGCACAUGAGCAAAUCUAGAAGUGUCGGGGUCAUCUUUGAGGUGUUUAUGAUGGGUAGGGACAGCAAGCCAUCCAUGUCAUUGUCACACAUACGAAGGUUAUGUCAAACCUUUGAAAUCAUGGAAGAUAAAGACAGCAGCGACUGCUGGGGAUGGGGCAAGUUCCUCGAACGAACUACUUUGGAGAAAGAUUACUUAACAGGGAGACACGUCACAUUUGCUUGUGCCAUCAUGAUCAUCGAUGACAGUUGUGUUCCUGUCCCUCCUUCAGACAUUGGGACCCAUCUUGGUCGCCUGCUAGAUCACGCUGAUGGGACAGAUGUGUCAUUCAUCGUUGACAAUGAGACAUUCCAUGCUCAUCGAGCAGUGCUUGCUGCCCGCUCACCGGUCUUCCGAGCAGAGCUCUUCGGCCCCAUGUCCGAGGCUACAAUGCCAUCCAUCACGCUGCACGACAUCACACCUGCAACAUUCAAAGUUAUGCUCCGGUUCAUAUACACAGAUGAAUUGCCCCUAGAAGACGAGCUUGAGGACUCUUCCACCGAGAUGUUCCAGAACCUGCUUGCUGCGGCCGAUCGGUAUGCACUGGACAGACUGAAGAUUGUUUGCGCCCAGAAGUUGUGGGAUAAAGUGUCGGUAGAUACAGUUGCAACUAUCUUAGCUUGGGCUGAAACCUACAACUGCCAGGAGUUGAAGAACAGGUGCAUUGACUUCUUUGUGGUGGAGGAAAAUUUCAAGAAGGCCAUCUUCACCGAUGGUUAUGCGUUGCUGGUUCUGAAAUUCCCAGAGAUCAUUGCUGAGAUGAAAAAGAGGGUUUAGGAGAUGACACAAUGAGAUAUAUCUCCAUGUAUAUAGUUCAGGUGUUCAAGCGAUAGUACUAGAUGUGUUUUGGAACGUGGUGAGUGGUAUGCGGCAUCUUAUCAAGCGUACUGGGGCGUACUAAAUGUGUUUCAUGAGCUGGGAGCCUGAUAUUACUGGAUCUUCUUGUUAGCAGUAUUGGCCAUAGUUGCUACUGAGUACUAAUGGCGGAGUGGUGGAUGUUUAUCAGGUAUCAGAUACUUGUGCUGAAUGAGCAGCUUGUUUUCCGUUUGUGUUUGUUCUUUUGGCCAUGUCGUGUCCUGAAGCUUUUAAAAUGUUUACUUCUGCUAAUCUAAUGCAUAACUAUCUAUAGCUCCGGUAAUCUAAAUACUUCCUUUGUCAUGGCAAAAAAAUUCUAGAGUAUAGCCUUUGCAUAGCUCAGUGUGAAAUUUUGUUCCUGGUUCAUCACUGAAAUCAAACAAGGGAUAUUCAAAACCUGAAAACGUGGUUGUGGCCCUUGUGGGAGUACUGAACAAAUUUUCUAAUUAAUUGGCCCGUGUGUUCUAGGGAAGAAAAGGACGCCCAACGGACGGUCCAGUAUCUUUGCAUACAACACAUCAUUUUCAUUAGAGAAAGGCUAUAAAUGAGCAGCUUGUUUUCCGUUUGCGUUUGUUCUUUUGGCCAUGUCGUGUCCUGAAGCUUUUAAAAAUAUUCACUUAAACUAAUAUAAUGCAUAACUAUCUAGAGCUCCGGGAAUCUCUUUGUCAUGGCCAAAGAAUCUGGAUUAUAGCGUUUGCAUAGCAAAGCGUGAAAUUCUGUUCCUGGUUCAUCUGGUAACUGAAAACAAACAAGGGAUAUUCAAAGCCAAAAAUCCUGUACUAACCAUUCUGAACAAAUUUUCUAAUUAAUUGGCAUGUGCGUUUGAGAGAAGAAAAGAACAUCCUACGUUCAGCGUCUUUGCAUACAACUGGGACCUGAUGACCGGAUCGAAACGAAAUUGCCAUCCUAUCUGCAGAUGUCAUGGUGAUACACAAGUUCCAGUGGAACUCGGCCUAAGUGGCUACUCGCAAGCUUUCUGAGAUUGCUUACCAGUCCAUCUAACAUAGCUCAACAGCUGCAAAAACGCUCAAAAUCAUUUGCCCACACUUAAUCAGCCAAAGGAAUCUACAUUAACAUGCAAAUAACUUGAACAGCAGUGGUAAACAAUGCAUACUGCUCGAGUAAUAGCAAAUAAAACAAUGCCAAUUGACAGUCAAAUACACACUCAUAUAAAAAGAGUUAUGAAUUUACAGAUGGUGUUUCAUGUAACUUUGAUUCAAAGCAUUACACACAGUGGUUCAUGCAGCACAAACUAAAACGCAAAGCAGGUGUUGCCGCACAGCAGCAGCAUUCUCGCCUCCAUACACAGGCGGAUACCACAGUGACCAUCCACACAUAAUACCACUGUCCACCACAAGCCAAACAAGACACUACAACGAGAUACUGACUCCUACAGCUAUUAGGUAAUAAUAGAACUCCGGGUAGCUCUUAUUGUUACUGCGUCGGGAUGGGCUGCAUCUCAGGAGCUGUGGCAGGCGCAGUGUCGGCGGCCGGGUUGGCGAAAACCCUUGCAAUGCGCUCAGUUGGGACGAGCGGGAGGUAGGUGGCGACGGAGUUGCCACGCUUCGCGCCAUCAAGCACGGCAGAGUUGUACUUGGCUGAGAGCUGUGCUGCCGUGGGGAGGACAGCACGGGUCACCGAGGGGACGAGCGGGAGGCGGUUCAGGGCGGCCCAGGCUUCAGCAGCCUUGCGCUCCGCCACAGGCUCAUAGCGGGUAUACAAGUCACGGGCCUUUGGCUCAGCACGAGCAAUGGCCGACUUGGCCAGGCCAGUUGCUGUGCCCAUUAUGCCUGUCUUCUGCACCUCAGCUGCUGCAGAGCGAGCAUAGGUCGGCACCUCUUUCACGACCGGCGGGACACGACGAUCCAGCUCCUGGACAGACUCGUCGACCUGCAAGGCACAAGCACAUGCAAACAUUAGUUGCUUGAAUAGCAAUCAAAUGAUUUAAGAUAAAUGCAUGGUGGACAUAUAAAAAUGAACUUGCCUCAUGCUAACCAAGAAAUCAGUUGCAAGAACUAGCAACAACUGAAUUCAAAUGCCCAUGUUAUGAUACUGGUUUUUACAGGACAUCCCGUAUACAAUUAUAUGCUAUUGUGUUCCUAAAUUGGACAUAAAUUGAUUGAUGCCCACGAUACUGGAUGUUGAACAUAUAGAAAUGAAGAAACAGUUUGACACUGCUUAAGGCUUGCCUCCCGCUAACAAAUAGAUAAGUUGCAAGAACUAGCAACAACUGAAUUGAAAUGCCUAUGUUAUUAUGAUACUGGUUUUUUUACCUGAUAUCCCGUACAGAACUAUAUGCUUUGUGUUGAUAAAUUGGACAUAAAUUGAUUGAUGGGUGAUAGGCUUAUAGCCAAUCCCAUUUCAAUCUGCCCAGAUAGAUGCAAGCAAAAUAAAAGAACCUCAAUUAACAUCAACUCAAUUUUGCCCCAUACCAACUAAAGAUCCUACAAUCCAACUCUACAGAUGAAAAAAUGAAGCAGACAGCUGCCAACAACAAAUUAUAAUUAGUGCCUAACAAGUCAGUUCCUCUGGUGUUCAUACAUGGUAUGUGAUCAAAAGAUGGGGAAAACAACUUGAUUUGUAGGUAUCAAAUUAUCUGGACAUCAUCUGUAGUACUUCGCAAAACUAGACUAAUAACAGGAUAAAGUGAUAAAACCAAUACACCAUAACAGGAUAAAGUGUUUCAUCCGCAUAACGACUCAUGCGACUUGAAAUCAGGAGCACAGAACAACUAGGUACUCCUGUGGCGAAGAACAACAGCCAUGAACUGGAUCGGAUAAUAAAUCCUUGAUACAGCUAAGAAAUCAAGCUGAGUUUCUCAAUCGUUCUCACCUUGCGGUCGAGGAACUUGAGGAGGUCGAGCGGCACGGCGUGGUAGCGGUCGUACACGGGGCCGACGACGGCCUUGACCGUCCCCUCGACGUGGUCGACCCCGGGGCGGAGCGGGCCGGCGCCCUGCUUGGCGUACGCGUAGGCCGCGGCCGCCAGCACGACCGCCUGCGCCGCCGCCUGCUGCACGAACUCGAGGUACCUCAGCCUGGCCUCCUCCUCCUCGGGCGUCCUCUCCACCGUCACCUCCUCCUGCGCGCGCGCCAACAAACCACAGAUCAGCACCAAAUCACGAUGAAAUCAAGC